CUUGUUGAAGAGAUUUUACACAGGAGAACAGAGGAGUUUCUACCUACAAGAGAAAGACUAUAUGAGCCUCUGGAAACCUCUCCAUUUUUAAUGAAUCCUGCUUC